rnacentral:snRNA from 1 species
AAUCCCAGUUUCUUGUGUAUUAAAGUAUAGAAGCCUCGCCUUUUACUAGACGAUUCCGUGAAUGUGGAAUGGUUUGGGACUAAUAAAAUUUCGGCAACUCUUACUUAGUAGGGUA